GCCGGUGACAAACCGGAGGAAGGUGGGGAUGACGUCAGGUCAUCAUGGCCCUUACGGCCAGGGCUACACACGUGCUACAAUGGCGCGCACAGAGGGCUGCAAACCCGCGAGGGGGAGCUAAUCUCACAAAACGCGUCGUAGUCCGGAUCGGAGUCUGCAACUCGACUCCGUGAAGUCGGAAUCGCUAGUAAUCGUGAAUCAGAA
rnacentral:rRNA from 13 species